GGGGAUGUAGCUCAGUUGGUUAGAGUGCCGGCCUGUCACGCCGGAGGUCGCGGGUUCGACCCCCGUCAUCCCCGCCA
rnacentral:tRNA from 1 species